GAUGAACGCUGGCGGCGUGCCUAAUACAUGCAAGUCGAGCGAACAGACGAGGAUCUUGCUCCUCUGACGUUAGCGGCGGACGGGUGAGUAACACUUGGAUAACCUACCUAUAGGACUGGGAUAACUUCGGGAAACCUGAUCUAAUACCGGAGCAUAUAUUGAACCGCAGGGGUCGAUAGUGAUAGACGGUUUUGCUGUCACUUAUGGAUGGAUCCGCGCCGCAUUAGCUAGUUGGUAAGGUAACGUCUUACCAAGGCAACGAUGCGUAGACGACCUGUGAGGGGGGUCGCCCGCCCUGGAAGUGAGCCACGGACCAGACUACUACGGGAGGGACCAGUAGGGAACGGUCCGCAACGGGCGAAAGCCUGACGGAGCAACCCCGAGUCAGUGAUGAAGGUCUUCGGAUCGUAAAAACGUCUUACGAGGGAAGAACCGCUGUGGACGUUAAUGUGCCCGUAUUGACGGUAACUGGUAAGAAAGCAACGGCUAACUACGUG
rnacentral:rRNA from 1 species